rnacentral:rRNA from 1 species
UGGUGCGAGCGUUAAUCGGAAUUACUGGGCGUAAAGCGUGCGCAGGCGGUUUUGUAAGUCAGAUGUGAAAUCCCCGGGCUUAACCUGGGAACUGCGUUUGAAACUACAAGGCUAGAGUGUGGCAGAGGGGGGUGGAAUUCCACGUGUAGCAGUGAAAUGCGUAGAGAUGUGGAGGAACACCGAUGGCGAAGGCAGCCCCCUGGGUUAACACUGACGCUCAGGCACGAAAGCGUGGGGAGCAAACAGGAUUAGGUACCCUGGUAGUCCACGCCCUAAACGAUGUCAACUAGUUGUCGGGUCUUAACGGGCUUGGUAACGCAGCUAACGCGUGAAGUUGACCGCCUGGGGAGUACGGUCGCAAGAUUA